rnacentral:rRNA from 1 species
CUACGCACUCCUACGGGAGGCAGCAGUGGGGGAAUAUUGCACAAUGGGCGCAAGCCUGAUGCAGCCAUGCCGCGUGUAUGAAGAAGGCCUUACGGGUUGUAAAGUACUUUCAGCAGUGAGGAAGGUGGGUAUGUUAAUAGCAUACUCAUUUGACGUUAGCUGCAGAAGAAGCACCGGCUAACUCCGUGCCAGCAGCCGCGGUAAUACGGAGGGUGCGAGCGUUAAUCGGAAUUACUGGGCGUAAAGCGCAUGCAGGUGGUUUGUUAAGUCAGAUGUGAAAGCCCGGGGCUCAACCUCGGAAUUGCAUUUGAAACUGGCAAACUAGAGUACUGUAGAGGGGGUAGAAUUUCAGGUGUAGCGGUGAAAUGCGUAGAGAUCUGAAGGAAUACCGGUGGCGAAGGCGGCCCCCUGGACAGAUACUGACACUCAGAUGCGAAAGCGUGGGGAGCAAACAGGAUUAGAUACCCUGGUAG